ACGGUAGAGAAAAUUCAAAUGGCAUGGAGCGGGGAAAAGCUGAAGUUAACAUUAUAACCCUGGGCAUUUUUCUGGUAAGAGAGUUUGUCUAGUUCAAUUACAUUACAGACCCUCCACAAAUUAUCUUUCUGCCAUAUCGAGAUUCGAACCUUGACUUAAGGUUCAAACCCUGGAAUUAAAUACCUCGUAUAGCUUCGUUCAAUGAAUCGGCAUCAAAUAUGGACAUGAAUUCAAAAUUUAUGAAGAGGAAAAACGAAGGAUCAGAAAAUAGCAACCAAAUGAGGUCAAAUUCCCAGCCAUUCAUGCAGUGGCAUUGGAUUCAUGGGUGGUCCCAUUUCUCAUGUUGGUAUUAGCACUUCUCACAAGCCAUUGACAACAGAGGAUUAUUGAGUUGCAUCAUCAACUUAGCUACUAGGAUUUUCCAUGGAUGAUAAUAAUUACAAGGAAGUUGCUAUCAUUGAAGUUGAUGUGUUUGGUGAGGUUGAUGUGAAUGAUUAAACAUGAAACCUAGUAUGUACAUGUGCUUGAUGUUUAGAUUGUUUUCAUGAUCACUUUGUGUGACCACCAUGCUUUGUUCAUGAUGAACUUUUAAGAGUAAUUUUAUA